GAUGAAGAACCCAGCGAAAUGCGAUACGUAAUGUGAAUUGCAAAUUCAGUGAAUCAUCGAGUCUUUGAACGCACAUUGCGCCCCCUGGUAUUCCGGGGGGCAUGCCUGUCCGAGCGUCAUUGCUGCCCUCAAGCACGGCUUGUGUGUUGGGCCCCGUCCUCCGAUUCCGGGGGACGGGCCCGAAAGGCAGCGGCGGCACCGCGUCCGGUCCUCGAGCGUAUGGGGCUUUGUCACCCGCUCUGUAGGCCCGGCCGGCGCUUGCCGAUCAACCCAAAUUUUUAUCCAGGUUGACCUCGGAUCAGGUAGGGAUACCCGCUGAACUUAAGCAUAUCAAUAAGCGGAGGA
rnacentral:misc_RNA from 1 species